rnacentral:lncRNA from 7 species
GUUCAGCAUGAAUAGUGGUGAACCAGCAGAGAGGGUGAGCUGCACUGACACAAGCAAGAGGCUCCGUGGCUGCAGCUCGUGGAGGAAUUGCUGGGUUCUGCCGCAUGGGAUGCGCUGCUGCCCUGAGCCGCGCCACAGAGCACUGAGAGCAUUGAAGGACAAGUGUAGAAUGAGAUGUGACUUCCUUGAUGUGAGAAGGCAUUGGAGAUGAAAUGUGGUGCACCAAUUGACUCCCUCAGAAGCCUCAGCUUGGACGUGGACCCUCCCUCGGCUGACAUCAUGGCUGUGAGUUUGCCUGCUGGGUGCUGGGAGCAAUGCCAUGCCCCACGCCAGCAGCCUGUGCCUCAGUGCAAGGCUGUGCCAAGGAGGGGCAGACUGGAUGUUAGGGAAAGUGUCUCCACUGUGUGGGAGAUCUAACAUGGGAAGCAGGCUUCCUGGAGAGGUGGUCAAUGCUUUGUGCCUGUCAGUGUUCAGGAGGUAAUGCCCUCAGUAAUGUGCUGUACUUCCUGGUUAGCCCUGGAGUGGUCAGGCAGUGGACUUAAUUGUUGCAGGUCCUUUAGAAUGGAACUACUCUAAUUCAACAAAAACUCUGUCUGUGUGUCAACCCUGCUAUAGCUUAGAUAUUUAAGGCAAUUACUGCCAUUUUUUCCAUUGGCACAGAACUUGCAGAUGGUGUCACAAUAUAAAUAAUGGCCUAAUAACAGUGAAGGGAAAUCAUUGAGUUAAAGAGGAAUUCUGGCUAACAUCACACCAGAUUCCUGAAGAAGGGCACUGGAAAACUCCAAGUGUUGAACUAUGCAGAAAAUUCACCGAAGAGAGAACAAACGGCUGGAAAAUGAGACCACAGCAGGCAGUCCCUUCAGGAAUGACAAGGUGUAUGCUAGUGAGUGAUUCUCGCUGAAAUGAAGGCGUGAGCCCAGGUUUAGGAUGACUUGGCACUUAGAGAUCUCCUUAAUGGCAAGGGACGUGUGCAGCUAAGAGGCUGACUUUCAUUUGCUGCUUU